AAUCAACGCUGGCGGCGUGCCUAACACAUGCAAGUCGAACGCGAAAGCCCUUUCGGGGGUAAGUAGAGUGGCGUCCGGGUGAGUAACACGUGGGUAAUCUGCCUUCGGGUGGGGAAUAACCCAGGGAAACUUGGGCUAAUACCGCAUAAUGCAGCGGCACCUAAUGGUGAUUAGUUGUUAAAGCGGGGGAUCGCAAGACCUCGCGCCUGAAGAGGAGCCUGCGGCAGAUUAGCUAGUUGGUGAGGUAAUGGCUCACCAAGGCUGCGAUCUGUAGCUGGUCUGAGAGGACGGCCAGCCACACUGGCACUGACACACGGGCCAGACUCCUACGGGAGGCAGCAGUGGGGAAUUUUGGGCAAUGGGCGCAAGCCUGACCCAGCAACGCCGCGUGAGGGAGGAAAUCCUUCGGGAUGUAAACCUCACAAGCAAGGGAAGAGAGCUGUGGGCUGAAUAAGUCUGCAGUACGACGGUACCUUGCGUAAGCCACGGCUAACUACGUGC
rnacentral:rRNA from 1 species